GACGAACGCUGGCGGCGUGCUUAGCACAUGCAAGUCGAACGGAAAGGCCCUGCUUGCCGGGUACUCGAGUGGCGAACGGGUGAGUAACACGUGGGUGAUCUGCCCUGCACUUCGGGAUAAGCCUGGGAAACUGGGUCUAAUACCGGAUAUGACCUUCCAUGUAGUGUGGGGGGUGGAAAGAUUUAUCGGUGUGGGAUGAGCCCGCGGCCUAUCAGCUUGUUGGUGGGGUAAUGGCCUACCAAGGCGUCGACGGGUAGCCGGCCUGAGAGGGUGGACGGCCACAUUGGGACUGAGAUACGGCCCAGACUCCUACGGGAGGCAGCAGUGGGGAAUAUUGCACAAUGGGCGGAAGCCUUAUGCAGCGACGCCGCGUGGGGGAUGACGGCCUUCGGGUUGUAAACCUCUUUCGACAGGGACGAAGCUUCGGUGACGGUACCUGUAUAAGAAGCACCGGCUAACUACGUG
rnacentral:rRNA from 1 species